GGUUAAGCGACUAAGCGUACACGGUGAACCUUUGGCAGUCAGGGGCGAUGAAGGGCGUGCUGUGCGAUAAGCGCCGGUAGGUGAUAUGAACCGUUAUAACCGGCGAUACCCGAAUGGGGAAACCCAGUGUGACUCGUCACACUAUCAUUAACUGAAUCCAUAUAGGUUAAUGAGGCGAACCGGGAACUGAAGCAUCUAAGUGCCCGAGGAAAGAAAUCAACCGAGAUUCCCCAGUGGCGGCGAGCGAACGGGGGAGAGCGAGGCACGAAUCGCAUGUGUUAGUGGAAGCGUCUGGAAAGGCGCGCGACCACAGGGGUAACAGCCCCGUACACAAAAGCGCAUGCUGUGAGCUCGAUAGUAAGGAGCGAGACACGUAGUAUCAUAAUGUCUGAAUAUGGGGGCCAUCCUCCAGGCUAAAUACUCUGACUGACCGAUAGUGAACCAGUACCGUGAGGAAAGGCGAAAAGAACCCCCGGCGGUGAAAAAGAACCUGAAACCGUGUACGUACAAGCAGUGGGAGCCCACCGCAAAAGCGUUUUCGCUUUGUGGUGCACAAAAGCGUAACGACAGCACUGAAUUGACGGUUAACGGGCGCAAGCGACGUUCAGCAUAAGUCAACAGUGGAGCGCUUUGGGGUAAGAAGGCUGACUGCGUACCUUUAUGCAUGGUCAGCGACAUAUUCUGCCAGCAGGUUAACGAAUAGGGGAGCCGGAGGAAACCGAGUCUUAACCGGGCGUUAGGGUACGGUAUAGACCCGAAGCAGUAUUUGAUCACAGCCAUGGCAGGAUUGAAAGGUUGACCCAGCUCUAACUGGAGGACCGAACCGACUAAUGUUGAAAAAUUAGCGGAUGACCUGUGGCACAGGGGUGAAAGGCCAAUCAAACCGGGAGAUAGCUGGUUCUCCCCGAAAGCUUAUUUAGGUAGCGCCUCGUGAAUUCAUCUCGGGGUAGAGCACUGUUUCGGCUGGGGGCCGUAGCUUACCAACCCGAUGCAAACUGCGAAUACCGAGAGGGAAUGUUAUCACGGGAGACACACGGCGGUGCUAACGUCCCGUCGUGAAGAGGAAACAGCAGACGCAGCUAAGGUCCCAAAGUCGUAGUUAAAGUGGAAACGAUGUGGGAAGCCCGAACAGCGGAUGUUGUGCAACAGCCAUCAUUUAAAAAGAAAGCGUAAUAGCUCACACUGGUCGAGUCGGCCUGCGCGGAAGAUAGCAACGAGAGGGGCUAAACCAUGCACCGAAGCUGCGGCAGCGACGCUGUAUGCGUUGUUGGGUAGGGAGCGUUCUGUAAGCCUGUGAAGGUGGCCUGUGAGGGUUGCUGGAGGUAUCAGAAAGUGCGAAUGCUGACGCAAAGUAACGAUAAAGCGGGUGAAAAGCCGCUCGCCGGAACCAGGGUUCCUGUCCAACGUUAAUCGGGGCAGGGUGAGUCGACCCCUAAGAGCCCGAACCGAAAGGCGUAGUCGAUGGGAAGCAGGUUUAAUAUUCCCGUACUUGGUGUUACUGCGAGGGGACGGAGAAGGCUAUGUUGGCCGGGCGACGGUUGUCGGUUUAGCGUGUGGGUGUGUGUUCGAAGGUAAAUCCGGUUCGCACAACUGAGGCGUGAUGACGAGGCACUACGGUGCUGAAGCAACCUACUUCGAGGAAAAGCCUCCUAAGCAUCAGGUAACAUCAAAUCGUACCCCAAACCGGCACAGGUGGUCCCGGGUGAAAUACCAAGGCGCUUGAGAGAACUCGGGUGAAGAACUGGGCAAAAAUGGUGCCGUAACUUCGGGAGAAAGUACGCUGAUAUAUGGAAAUUGAAGCGGUUUACCCGUGGAGCUGAAAUCAGUCAACUGGCUGCAACUGUUUUAUUAAAACACAGCACUGUGCAAACACGAAAGUGGACAUUAUACGGUGUGUGACGCCUGCCCGGUGCCGGAAGGUUGGUGAUGGGGUCAGCGCAGAAGGCGAAGCUCCUGAUCGAAGCGGUAAACGGCGGCGGCCGUAACUAUAACGGUCCUAAGGUAGCGAAAUUCCUUGUCGGGUAAGUUCCGACCUGCACGAAUAACGUAAUGAUGGCGGGCUGUCUACCGAGACUCAGUGAAGUGAACUCGCGCAGCCGAAUGCAGUGUACCCGCAGCAGACGGAAAGACCCGUGAACCUUUACUAUAACGACACUGAACAUUGAGCCUUGAUGUGUAGGAUAGGUGGGAGGCUUUGAAGCGUGGACGCCAGUCUGCGUGGAGCCGACAGCAAUGCCACCCUUUAAUGUUUGAUGUUCUAACGUGGACCCGUGAUCCGGGUUGCGAGACAGUGUCUGGUGGGUAGUUUGACUGGGGCGGUCUCCUCCUAAGUAACGGAGGAGCACGAAGGUUGGCUAAUCUGGUCGGACAUCAGGAGGUUGAGUGCAAUGGCAUAAACGACUGCGAGCGUGACGGCGCGAGCAGGUAGCAGGUCGCCGAGUGAUCCGGUGGUUCUGAAUGAAGGGCCAUCGCUCAACGGAUACAAAAGGUAGCGCCGAGGAUAGCGCAGGCUGAUACCGCCCAAGGUUCAUAUCGACGGCGGUGUUUGGCACCUCGAUGUCGGCUCAUCACAUCCCUGGGGCUGAAGUAGGUCCCAAAAGGGUAUGGCUGUUCACCAUUUAAAGUGGUACGCGAGCUGGGUUUACAGAACGUCGUGAGACGGUUCCGGUCCCCUAUCUGCCGUGGGCGCUGGAGAACUGAGGGGGCUGCUCCUAGUACGAGAGGACCGGGUGGACGCAUCACUGGUGUUCGGUUGUCAUGCCAAUGGCUGCCCAUUAGCUAAAUACGGAAGAGAUAAGUGCUGAAAAGCAUCUAAGCGCGAAACUUGCCCCGAGAUGAAGGUUCUCCCUGAGACUUUAGGUCUCCUGAAGGAACGUUGAAGACGACGACGUUGAUAGGCCGGGUGUUAAUAGCGCAGCGAUGCGUUGAAGCUAACCGGUACUAAUGAACCGUGAGGCUUAACCUU
rnacentral:rRNA from 1 species